rnacentral:tRNA from 1 species
GUUGUCGUGGCCGAGUGGUUAAGGCGAUGGGCUAGAAAUCCAUUGGGAUCUUCCCGCGCAGGUUCGAAUCCUACCGACAACG